GACGAACGCUGGCGGCGUGCUUAACACAUGCAAGUCGAACGGGCCUGUCUUCUUUUUUGGGGGUGGGUUGAGUGGCGAACGGGUGAGUAUCACGUGAGUAACCUGCCCUUCGGUCCUGGAUAACCGCUUGAAAGGGCGGCUAAUACGGGGUGGUCCGGUUGGUCCGCAUGGGCUGGUCGGGAUAGAUUCACUGUUUUUGGUGUUUCGGCGGGGGAUGGGCUCGCGGCCUAUCAGCUUGUUGGUGGGGUGAUGGCCUACCAAGGCGGUGACGGGUAGCCGGCCUGAGAGGGUGGGCGGCCACACUGGGACUGAGAUACGGCCCAGACUCCUGCGGGAGGCAGCAGUGGGGGGUAUUGCACAAUGGGCGGAAGCCUGAUGCAGCGACGUCGCGUGAGGGAUGGAGGCCUUCGGGUUGUGAACCUCUGUUUCCGGUGGUGAAGGCCCUGUCCGUGUGGUGGGGUUGACGGCAGCCGGGGAUGAAGCGCCGGCUAACUACGUG
rnacentral:rRNA from 1 species